rnacentral:tRNA from 1 species
CGCAGGUUGGAGCAGUUGGAUAGCUCGUUGGCCUCAUGAGCCAAAGGUCGUCGGUCCAAGUCCGACACCUGCAA